GCGCCGGACUGGCGGGAGCGCGGGUCGCCGGGCUCGGGGAGGGGACCGCGGCCCCUCGUCCCGCAGGGCAGCCGGGAGGAUGCCCGCCCGUGCUGCACCUACGGUCGGAACAUUCCCCUAAAAAGUGGAGGUCCCGUUCAGGUCCCCCCCCCUAACAACCCGCGGCAGGUCCGGGCCCAGCUGACCUCUGCUCCAGAAUCCGCAAGGCCCGCGGCGCCUCCGUUUCAACGGAGAAAAAGAGCUCCAGGAACGAUGAGAACGAAUAAAAAGAGAGGAGAGGAAACUGAGGCAUGGAGAUAGGUGAGCACACCCCGUCCCUUGCCUGGCCACUGCAAGUCUCUGCAAGAGAAGCCCCUAAAAGCCAGCCCAGCCCUGGACCGUGGCUCAGACACCACUGAGGACACAGCAAGAAUACCGCUGUCCCCAAGCCAGGAAGAGGGUCCUCCACCGGGAACCAAAUCUCGGGCAUUCUGAACUUGGACUUCCCAGGUUCCAAAACCGUGAGAAGUCACUUUCUGUUGCUUAUGCCACCCAGUCUGGUGUUUUGUGAUGGCAUCAGGAACAGCCUUUUCCUCCUCAACUAACCACAGAAUUUUUUUAAUUUUUA